ensembl:lncRNA
CUAUUUUAGUGGCAGUGUUCAUGCAUUAAGGGUAAACUUUAUUUUUAUAUGUGGUUGUAAGUGACGGAUUCUACUCCUUACAGAAAUAGUGACGACAUUCGUGACUAACAAUGAAGAAGUUGUUGACUCAACCUUGGAUCUAUUUGAAGCAAAAUCAACUGCGGUAAAAUCCAAAGACGUCCAUGGAGUGGGGAACAUUGGCAGGGCGACAGCGGUUUUCCUCUCCGCCAUAAUCCUAAUCCUGGUCCUGGUUUUCAGUAAAAGGUUCCUGCCGAAGAGGCCACUUGAACAUCCCCAAACCUCACCUGCUGAAAACGUUUAUGAAGUAUUAUGACGGGUCUCAACAUUAAGAGGAUGAGCGAGUCCAUAAGGCCUUCACGCUUGCUGAAUGUGUCUCCUCGUCUUUGCUGACUUGAUCCACCUCUUCAUCUUUGGAGGGAAAGCGUUUGAGAAUAAUGGGUCCCAGUGCUCUCAGAUAGCUGUGAAAAAAGACAAAUGUUUGUUAUGUGUGUC